GGUUAAGCGACUAAGCGUACACGGUGGAUGCCCUGGCAGUCAGAGGCGAUGAAGGACGUGCUAAUCUGCGAAAAGCGCCGGCGAGGUGAUAUGAACCUUUGACCCGGCGAUGUCCGAAUGGGGAAACCCAGUGUGAUUCGUCACACUAUCGUUAACUGAAUACAUAGGUUAACGAGGCGAACCGGGGGAACUGAAACAUCUAAGUACCCCGAGGAAAAGAAAUCAACCGAGAUUCCCCCAGUAGCGGCGAGCGAACGGGGAGCAGCCCGGAGUCUGAAUCAGCUUGUGUGUUAGUGGAACGGUCUGGAAAGUCCGACGGUACAGGGUGAUAGUCCCGUACACGAAAACACACUUGCUGUGAACUCGAAGAGUAGGGCGGGACACGUGGUAUCCUGUCUGAAUAUGGGGGGACCAUCCUCCAAGGCUAAAUACUCCUGACUGACCGAUAGUGAACCAGUACCGUGAGGGAAAGGCGAAAAGAACCCCGGCGAGGGGAGUGAAAAAGAACCUGAAACCGUGUACGUACAAGCAGUGGGAGCCUCUUUAUGGGGUGACUGCGUACCUUUUGUAUAAUGGGUCAGCGACUUAUAUUCUGUAGCAAGGUUAACCGUAUAGGGGAGCCGAAGGGAAACCGAGUCUUAACUGGGCGUUAAGUUGCAGGGUAUAGACCCGAAACCCGGUGAUCUAGCCAUGGGCAGGUUGAAGGUUGGGUAACACUAACUGGAGGACCGAACCGACUAAUGUUGAAAAAUUAGCGGAUGACCUGUGGCUGGGGGUGAAAGGCCAAUCAAACCGGGAGAUAGCUGGUUCUCCCCGAAAGCUAUUUAGGUAGCGCCUCGUGAACUCAUCUUCGGGGGUAGAGCACUGUUUCGGCUAGGGGGCCAUCCCGGCUUACCAACCCGAUGCAAACUACGAAUACCGAAGAAUGUUAUCACGGGAGACACACGGCGGGUGCUAACGUCCGUCGUGAAGAGGGAAACAACCCAGACCGCCAGCUAAGGUCCCAAAGUCAUGGUUAAGUGGGAAACGAUGUGGGAAGGCACAGACAGCCAGGAUGUUGGCUUAGAAGCAGCCAUCAUUUAAAGAAAGCGUAAUAGCUCACUGGUCGAGUCGGCCUGCGCGGAAGAUGUAACGGGGCUAAACCAUGCACCGAAGCUGCGGCAGCGACACUAUGUGUUGUUGGGUAGGGGAGCGUUCUGUAAGCCGUUGAAGGUGUGCUGUGAGGCAUGCUGGAGGUAUCAGAAGUGCGAAUGCUGACAUAAGUAACGAUAAAGCGGGUGAAAAGCCCGCUCGCCGGAAGACCAAGGGUUCCUGUCCAACGUUAAUCGGGGCAGGGUGAGUCGACCCCUAAGGCGAGGCCGAAAGGCGUAGUCGAUGGGAAACAGGUUAAUAUUCCUGUACUUGGUGUUACUGCGAAGGGGGGACGGAGAAGGCUAUGUCAGCCGGGCGACGGUUGUCCCGGUUUAAGCAUGUAGGCGGAGGU
rnacentral:rRNA from 1 species